GUCCAGCUUCGCCCUCCUCAGCUCCGUCAUGGACGCCUGCAUCUGCUCGAUCACAAAGUCGUCCUCGUAGUAGAAGUUUUUGGACAAAGUCACCUGCAGGAACUCCACCAGCUCCUCCAUGGACAGCUUCAUCAGGAAACACUGGAAGAACCACUUCAUGGUGUAGAGACUGGUGAACACUUCCUGGGUGUCCUGCAACACAACAAACACAUACAGACACAAGAGAUGAAUGAGGCAUCGACAAGGGAAGAGCUUAAAUGUGUGUUAACUCAGAAUAUUACGUUUUUAUCACUUUGUCCUAUGAUUAUUUACUUUAAACAAGCUUCCAUAUCCACAGAUUAAUAAUGCUUCUGAAAUAUGUUUUCAGGUUCUAUGUAUUUCUAUGUUUUCUGUCCUUAAGCACCAGUCGCUGCAUUGCCCCCCCGUCACAGUGUGUGUCUCACCAGGUGUUGUUUCAGUUUGGGCAUCAUCUUCUUGAGUGUGCGAUCGUGAUGUUCCUGGAAACGCAUCAACUUCGGGAAACCAGGGACGAAAAACCCUGAAGGUGAAACCAGAAGGGAAGAAAGGAUUUGAGCCGUCUGGCUGAAAUGUGCAAAUCAUUUUGAACUGAUAGAUAAUUUAAAAACUCUGUGUGUGUGUGUGUGUGUGUGUGUGUGUGUGUGUGUGUGUAUUUGUGUUACCGUGCAUGGAGUGCUUCUGUCCCGACAGCAGUUUGACCAGAGCCCAGAAGGCGUCUUCUUCGUUCAUGUAGAUCAGUAGCAGAGCUGUGAUCUGACUCAUGCCUUGGCAGUAACCCACCUCCUGCACACACACACACACACACACACAGGGAAACACACACAAGGAAACACACUCUAAUCACCCAGAGGAGCAACAACAAGUUCUUAAUGUUUUAAACACAUGCAUUUAACUCUGUAAAGUUUGAAUCCUCCUGAAUGUAUGUGUUUUAACAACCUAUUGUUUCUGAUGCAUUGUGUUUGUCAUGUGUGAAUUUAUGUGAAACACUAAAAAAAGCUCCUUCUCAGUGUUUGUAAAAACGAGACACACACAGACACACACAUGUGCUCGGAUCCAGAACAGCGGCGGAGACACGGUGACCUUUGCAGAGUGUGAGUGACUCACCGUGUUGUACAUGGAGUAGGCCGUGAGGACGUGGAACAGAGCCUGCUGCCUGAGAACAGCAAACACAAAACACAAUCAACACAAAAGCCUGCAAAACAAAUCCUCAGUUUUACAGCCGAGCUGGUGAAUCCUCGUCUCCUGCUUCAAACCCACGUGCAGCGUAGUGGCUGCACGUCAGACUCAGUGUGAUGAACUAAAUCCCCAUGUAAAACACAUACUGUGA